AUUCUCUGGAGAGUCUCAUGAUGAGCGCCGAAGGUGUAAGGUGGAAUUGCCGCCGAUCUCUCAGGCAAAAGGACAGAGCAG
rnacentral:ncRNA from 1 species